GACGAACGCUGGCGGCGUGCUUAACACAUGCAAGUCGAACGGCGAAAGCGGAGCUUGCUCCGCUGGAUCAGUGGCGAACGGGUGAGUAACACGUGGGCAACCUGCCCCUCACUUCGGGAUAACUCCGGGAAACCGGGGCUAAUACCGGAUAUGACCUCCUUGGGCAUCCAUGGAGGUGGAAAGGUUUUCGGUGAGGGAUGGGCCCGCGGCCUAUCAGCUUGUUGGUGAGGUAGUGGCUCACCAAGGCGACGACGGGUAGCCGGCCUGAGAGGGCGACCGGCCACACUGGGACUGAGACACGGCCCAGACUCCUACGGGAGGCAGCAGUGGGGAAUAUUGCGCAAUGGGCGAAAGCCUGACGCAGCAACGCCGCGUGCGGGAUGACGGCCUUCGGGUUGUAAACCGCUUUCAGCAGGGAAGAAGCCGCAAGGUGACGGUACCUGCAGAAGAAGCACCGGCUAACUACGUGCCAGCCGCCGCCGUAA
rnacentral:rRNA from 1 species